GUCCUCAUCAGAGUUAGAGGAGGUGGUGUUGGAGGACGACUGGCACUUUCUCUUCAUGAUGACGGGAACAUUAUAGCUCUCCAAAUACCUGCAGGAGUCAGUCACAACACUGUGCAGCGUAUUCACCUUCGUAUCCAGAGUGAACCCUCUCAGCCAGUAGGAGGCAGCAGAACUGGUCUUCAUCGUGAGCCGUGUCCUGCACCUUCAUCAGACUCCUGACUGCUGCGAGACGGACGAGCAAAACAAACAGGCGUCAAGUCAAAGCACUAAUGAAAAGUCCCACAGAGGGACAAAAUGAAAGACUCUGAUCCUGGCGGCGGCGGCAGCGGUCGGCGAGCUAACCUGCAGCCGCUGGUCGAAGGGUUGUCCUGCUCCGAGCUGAGCAGGCUGUAGGCGUUGGAGCUGCUGGGGGGAGACGGGCUGUGGGAGUUGGAACUGUGCAAAGAGAGAAGGAAAAAGUUGAAAUUGCAACUGCAAAACGGAAGUAAAAAUCACGUCAGUUUCAUCAAAACUGAUUUUCUGAGGGUGUUUGAUGGAGAUGUCCCAUUCUUUAGCACAUUCAGGUCAUAGGGAGGAGAGCAACAGGGUAAAGAAAAGGUCCACAUCAUUUUUCACUGAAGUACAAACUUAUCACGUGUGCCCUGCACCCAUCUGAGGCGCUGAAGUGUCUUUCAGUAAAAAAAAAAAAAAAAAAAGGACAAGUGUCACCAUUUUCACGUUUUGGGGUGGUAUUUAACUCAGGCUAAAAGAAGAUCAGCCUUUCUACGUUUUUAUUCGCCCUUUGUGACCGUUGGAACGAGUGCGCUUGGAGCGUCAGAUCCAAUUUAGCGGCCGAGUCACAAAAGAAGUUCACGCUCUUAUCUUGAAGUCUUUGUCACCGACUUGAAGGACCCGAAUUGGUGCCGGCAGCUCAAUGGUUGCACAGCAGGAAAACAUCAGCGUGGCCGAGUGUGAGGUCAAGGCACCACUGGGGGGGCAGUACAUCCCUGCUUGUUGCCUUGGUGCUCAGAUUUAGAAAGAGUAUCUGACAUUUUGUCACCGAGGACUGUUUUUGGCCGUGGAGUCUGACUCCGCUACCCAGUCUGAAGUUGAAGACAGCCACGUGUGUUUCUGCAGGUCAAUAUCCAGAAGUGAGAAACUCAUCGAAAAGGUCGUUUUUUUUUCUUUCAGGGACUGAAUUCAAAACGUGAAACUCAGAUUUGUACUGUCGCCACAGCGGGAGAGAUUUUGAUGAUAACUUAAACAAACCCAGAUCAUUUAGAUUUACUAAACAAUUACUUUUAUUGCAGGAAUAUGAUCUUACUGAGCAGCCGUAUGCACUGUAAGGUUUAUAUAUUCUGUACUUUCUCCGUACCUCUCCUGCAUGGACUACUGCACCAAUGUAUUGUUUGAUCGGUUGUCAAAAUCAUUUACAGAUCUGUCAGGAGAAAGAAAAAUAUAUAUUUGAAGAGAAACUGGUCAUUUUCAGGCAUCACAAAGCCAAUGUUUAGACUAAAAUUAAUCGGGUCUAAAGAGGUUAACCUCUGACAGGAGCUGCGUCCUGCAUCUUGUGAGUCUGCCUCUAACUCUUGAAUGGACUU